GGGGUCUUGGCCUAGUGGUUAAGGCAACUGAGUAACACCUUUGAGUUGAGGUCCUGGGUUCGACUCCCGGUGGGAGCG